CAUACCAUUUACAAGAGUAGACAACCCAAGGUAUUGCAAAUAGGGUAUGUCCAGUUUUUUUUAGUAGCCUCUUAAACACUGGCCAAAAUUGGUGUUCAAAUUAGUUUUUUUGCGUUUUUCACACACAAACACAUAUUAAUGCUAAAUUUGGCCAGUGUUUGUGAAUAAGUGGCUUCUAAAAAAGACUGGAUAUACCUCAUUUGCAAUACCUUUGGUUGUUUACUAUUGCACAUGGUAUG